rnacentral:piRNA from 1 species
UUCUGAAGGUUGAAAGCGGUCUGACAGAAGU